UUGAAUUUCAAAUUUGGAUUUCAGAUCUAAUGUUUCAAAAUUUCAAGUUUUGAAAUUCGAAUGCAAAAUUCAUAUUGAAAAUUUCAGAUUUGAAAAUUUUAGAUUUGGAAAUUUCAGAUUUGGAGCCCAAACCUAGAAUUUCAAAUUUAACUUUGAAAUUGUUAACUUCAAAUCCUAAAUUUGUGGAGAUCAGAUCUCAACUUUAAUAACUAAAAUUCG
rnacentral:lncRNA from 1 species